rnacentral:rRNA from 1 species
GACGAACGCUGGCGGCGUGCUUAACACAUGCAAGUCGAACGGAAAGGCCCUGCUUUUGUGGGGUGCUCGAGUGGCGAACGGGUGAGUAACACGUGAGUAACCUGCCCUUGACUUUGGGAUAACUUCAGGAAACUGGGGCUAAUACCGGAUAGGAGCUCCUGCUGCAUGGUGGGGGUUGGAAAGUUUCGGCGGUUGGGGAUGGACUCGCGGCUUAUCAGCUUGUUGGUGGGGUAGUGGCUUACCAAGGCUUUGACGGGUAGCCGGCCUGAGAGGGUGACCGGCGACAUUGGGACUGCGAUACGGACCAGACUCCUACGGGAGGCAGAAGUGGGGAAUAUUGCACAAUGGGCGGAAGCCUGAUGCAGCAACGCCGCGUGCGGGAUGACGGCCUUCGGGUUGUAAACCGCUUUCGCCUGUGACGAAGCGUGAGUGACGGUAAUGGGUAAAGAAGCACCGGCUAACUACGUG